AACGAACGCUGGCGGCAUGCCUAACACAUGCAAGUCGAACGAGACCUUCGGGUCUAGUGGCGCACGGGUGCGUAACGCGUGGGAACCUGCCCUUAGGUUCGGAAUAACUCCCCGAAAGGGGUGCUAAUACCGGAUAAUUUCUUCGGACCAAAGAUUUAUCGACUUUGGAUGGGCCCGCGUUGGAUUAGCUAGUUGGUAGGGUAAAAGCCUACCAAGGCGACGAUCCAUAGCUGGUCUGAGAGGAAGGUCAGCCACACUGGGACUGAGACACGGCCCAGACUCCUACGGGAGGCAGCAGUGGGGAAUAUUGGACAAUGGGCGAAAGCCUGAUCCAGCAAUGCCGCGUGAGUGAUGAAGGCCUUAGGGUUGUAAAGCUCUUUUACCCGGGAUGAUAAUGACAGUACCGGAAGAAUAAGCACCGGCUAACUCCGUG
rnacentral:rRNA from 1 species